UGCGUAGGCGGAUUAAUAAGUCAGUGGUGAAAUCUUUCGGCUCAACCGAGAAACUGCCAUUGAUACUGUUAAUCUUGAGUUCGGUAGAGGUAGGCGGAAUGUGUAAUGUAGCGGUGAAAUGCUUAGAUAUUACACAGAACACCAAUUGCGUAGGCAGCUUACUAUGCCGACACUGACGCUGAGGCACGAAAGCGUGGGGAGCGAACAGGAUUAGAUACCCUGGUAGUCC
rnacentral:rRNA from 1 species